UGCCCCUGUCUACCGAGAAAUGCUCAGCUCAGCAGCAGGGAUUGGAGAGCCUCCCUGAGGAGCUCCCUGACACCUCGUCCUCACAGGCUGUCCCCACGUCCUGCACCUGAGAGGCCAUCUACUCUGAGCAUGCCCCUCAGCAAGGUCACUGGCAGGUAAGGGCCUUCUCCAAGGUCCUUCCAGGCACCGUGAGGCCUUUGAUGGACCUCCACUGUCUAAAGUCGAAGGGCCUCACAUCCUCCUCAACCCUUCCUCUCGGGAUGCUCAGCACACAUCUGUUCUGUCUUUCUUUCCUGACCUCACACAACACCUCUCAAAGGCUGCGAAGAUCGCUCUGCACACAGAACCCUUAGACAAACACAGAACAGCCCCACCAAGCAUGCACCUGCCUCUCCGAACCACCCAGAGUGGACACUUCACGGGGGCUAAGGUGUGCCACCCCAUCCCGAUGGCCCUGAAUCCCUCCCACCAUGCAGUUCUGCUCCUCAGAGAGAAGUCUGAGAAGUCGGUGUGUGUCCCCUGCAUUUUUGCCACUUCCCAUCCAGGGUUGGCUUCCGAAGAUGAGCACGGGCCCAGGGCGGCUCAUGUGACAUGGGUCAUGGGAGUAGAGGCUGCCUGGGGUCCUUCCCCUUCCAGCUCCCAAUAAUGGAAAGUGAGGACAACCUGAGAAGCAGGCAGGAGUCAGGUGCCAUUGUGAGAAAACCGCCCAUUCAGGAGAAGGAGGUACAUGCCACGAGGCACCGAAUUGACCUCCACAGGUGUCCUAGGAGGUUUCAGAGUAGCAGACUAGAUCAUCUUCCUGCUUCUGUGCUACACUGCUUCACCCCCCACCUUUACAAAGGAAGCAGCCUUCAUAGGCAUUCCACCUGCACCAGCCUCUCUCCACAUGUAGUAGUAGUGACUUGAAAUAGGAACACACUCUUCAUCUCAAAGCCAGGCCUCAGCUUCUGCCGUGAGACACCUGACAUGCUGUGCCAUGUCUGCAGAGACGUAUUUCCACAAAAGGGAAACCAAUACAGAACACCUCAGGCCCACGAGUCCUAGCUUGGGUGAAGUCACCUGGUUGCCCAUCCCUUGUGGAAUCCAAGGCCACAGUUGCCUGACCUGAGAAGUGAGUUCUGGGCGGGAUGGAGGGAAACGUUCUGGGCCGUGGCAGCGAGAGUCACAUCCUGCCCAGCUCAGAGCAGACCCUUUCCUGAGCAUGUGGCCACAGACAACACCCACCAGCACUGAAUCGUUUUCUGACUAUACCCUCCCAUUCCACGCCCCCAUUAGCCAGAGUAUGCUCCAGUUCCAAUCCCUUAGAGAGGUCUGGUGAGGCGAGCUUCAGAUGCCUGAGGACCACAAGGCGGGGCUAGGCUUUCCCCAUGACCCACCCAGGGCCAGCCACAGGACACUGGCUACACACACGUUCCAAGUGGCUUGUCUCCCUUCUAGAAACCGCCAACCUGCCUGCUGCCAUCCUGCCUCCCCAACCAGAGCAAGGCCUCUUGAACCACCUCCAAGCAGCUGUCCUCCCCAGGGCAGCCUCAGGUUUCUACAGGCUCCCCAGCUGAGAUGUCCCUGGGGUGCAGUGCUCUCGCCUUCCUCUCCUUCCGUCCAACUCCAUGUCCACAGUGAAGGGUCCCAACGGAAACCCAGGGAUUUGAGGGAGGCCCUUUCUCUUGGAAAACAGCCCCUGUCUAGAGGCUUACCGCCUUCUGAAGCCAUUCCCACAGGCAUGGGCCUGGACCACCACGGGCUGGUGGCCUCAACGUGGACAGUCAAGAGCAGGACCCAGCGAGGGACCUGCCCCAACAGAUGCUCAGGACGCAAGUAAAGGAGCCCAAGUUUGAAUCUCAACAGUAGAAUGCGGGCCUCCAGUCAUUCUGCAGUGGGGGAGGGGCCGAGGGCAGGGGCCAGACAAUUGUCGAGUGCCUCGUCAGGCAAUGUAUGUGUUGGUUUUCAGAGUCACAGCACCAAGGUUUGUCUUGAUGUUCCCUUUCCCUUUGUUAUUCAUCAACUUGUUUGUUGUCCUUCAACCCCUCAGCUUCCGUCCUGGCUCCAGGCUCCCUUCCCCAGAGGCCAGACUUUCUGAACAAAAUUCACCUUUUAUCAUCUGAUAACCACUUGGGUUUUCAUGGCCACCUGGAACCCAAUGUUUAUGGUUUGGCUUCUCUCAGCAGACCCACCAUUUGUGAUUGGUGUGUGUCCGUCUUUCCUAAGGAAGCCGUCCUUGUGUGCCAACCAGCAUCCAGCAGGACCCACCUUCCUCAUGUUCCCUUGUGCUGGAAAGGCCCAGCCUAUCCAAAAAGCCACUGCACAGCCCACGUGUCCAAGACCAGAGAUCAGUCUGUCGUGUCUCCCGUAUGAUGACAUUGCUGAGAGCUUCGGGGCAGGCACUGGCGGCUGAGGAGAAACAUCUCUGGAGAUGGAUCACUAGCAUCAGGAGACAGUGAACCUUCCACUCCCACAUGGAAAUUGAAAGGCACCGAGAGAUCCCAGGAGCUUCAGGGCAGGCAGUGGCAACUGAGGAGAAACAUCUCUGGAAAUGGAUCACUAGCAUCAGGAGACAGUGAAUCUUCCACUUCUGCAUGGACAUUAAGGACACAGAGAAAUACCAGGUUUGUGUCUUGUGGACGUUUCAAGUCUGUGCCCUUGGGGGCUUUUCAUGUUGUUAGAUGUAAGGGUCUUGAGAGGUAUCCUGUGGAGUAAGAAAUGCUCUGAUGUUGCAACUGACCAUAAAAGGGAUCUGAGGGUUCAGGUUUCUUUAGCACACAUUACAAUGUCAGGUCAGUACAGUGAAUCUGCUCCUACUUAUUUGUAUGUUGAUUGCCAGCUGAAAUUCUGUGAUGUAGUCAAAAAAGUAGGGAGGGAGAGUAAAAUUGUUCCCAAAGUACCUGCUGUUUUGUAAUUGGCCAAGAGGGUCAAGUUUAGUUCACCAGCAUAGCCAGAAUAACCAAAACCUUACAAAAGAAACACCUGUGAAUCCACCUUUAUUAAAAAACCUCCAGGCAUUAACUAACUACCCUGAGAAAAAAAAACAUUCAAGGAGAACAAAUGCAUUUGGAAAAACUCUAGGCAUGGAAACAGGAGAAAUUUCGUUCAGAGUGUUUUCCAGGUCUAAAAUUCAUUGCUAGACAUUCUUUUUAAUGGACCCCUCAGGCUUGAUAGGGAAAAGAACCUUCUAUUUCUAGG